rnacentral:misc_RNA from 1 species
GUGAAUCAUCGAAUUUUUGAACGCAAAUUGCACUCUCCUCUGAGAGUAUGCGUGUUUGAGGGUGAGCCUAUAAAAAAUCUACAUCGUUGCUGUUUGGCGGUGGCGUUCGUCGGAAAUUGGGUCAUCUUGAAUCCUUUUGAUUUUUAAGCGACUUAAAAUUUUCUUUUUGGUUCCAUGAACGUUUCUAAGAUUUAUUUCUUUACACGUUUAAGGUAUCGAUUUUUAUUAGGCGUGACCAGCAUAUCGGAUCUCGUCUAUAAUCUUUCAUAAACUGAC